CUAGGCUAUCGGGUAAUCGCUGGUUCUUUACAGAACAAGAGGAAAGUCCGGGCAGCGUAGGACAUGGCAGUCGCUAACGGCGACCAGAGGUAACUCUAGGGAAAGUGCCACAGAAACGAUACCGCUAUCUCAAAUCUGCUUUAAUGUACGAUGACUGAUAGUAAGGGUGAAAAGAGCGGUGUAAGAGACCGUAGCCGACUAUGGUGACAUAGAAGGAGGGUAAACCCUGCCAGCUGCAAGGUGUAUUAUCGCAUAAGUUGUUCGCUUGAUAAUACUAACAUCCGCUUGAGCUGUACAGCAAUGUACAGCCUAGAUAGAUGAUUACCGAUAACAGAACCCGGCUUAUAGAUAGCCUAAUAAA
rnacentral:RNase_P_RNA from 2 species